AUUGAACGCUGGCGGCAGGCCUAACACAUGCAAGUCGAGCGGAUGAAGGGAGCUUGCUCCUGGAUUCAGCGGCGGACGGGUGAGUAAUGCCUAGGAAUCUGCCUGGUAGUGGGGGAUAACGUCCGGAAACGGGCGCUAAUACCGCAUACGUCCUGAGGGAGAAAGUGGGGGAUCUUCGGACCUCACGCUAUCAAAUGAGCCUAGGUCGGAUUAGCUAGUUGGUGGGGUAAAGGCCUACCAAGGCGACGAUCCGUAACUGGUCUGAGAGGAUGAUCAGUCACACUGGAACUGAGACACGGUCCAGACUCCUACGGCAGGCAGCAGUGGGGAAUAUUGGACAAUGGGCGAAAGCCUGAUCCAGCCAUGCCGCGUGUGUGAAGAAGGUCUUCGGAUUGUAAAGCACUUUAAGUUGGGAGGAAGGGCAGUAAGUUAAUACCUUGCUGUUUUGACGUUACCAACAGAAUAAGCACCGGCUAACUUCGUG
rnacentral:rRNA from 1 species